AAGCAAUUAUACAGCGAAACUGCGAAUGGCUCAUUAUAUAAGUUAUCGUUUAUUUGAUAGUACCUUACUACUUGGAUAACCGUGGUAAUUCUAGAGCUAAUACAUGCUAAAAAUCCCGACUUCGGAAGGGAUGUAUUUAUUAGAUUAAAAACCAAUGCCCUCCGGGGCUCACUGGUGAUUCAUGAUAACUCCUCGAAUCGCAUGGCCUUGCGCCGGCGAUGGUUCAUUCAAAUUUCUUCCCUAUCAACUUUCGAUGUUUGGGUAUUGGCCAAACAUGGUUGCAACGGGUAACGGAGGGUUAGGGCUCGACCCCGGAGAAGGAGCCUGAGAAACGGCUACUACAUCCAAGGAAGGCAGCAGGCGCGCAAAUUACCCAAUCCCGACUCGGGGAGGUAGUGACAAUAAAUACUGAUACAGGGCUCUUUUGGGUCUUGUAAUUGGAAUGAGUACAAUUUAAAUCCCUUAACGAGGAACAAUUGGAGGGCAAGUCUGGGCCUGA
rnacentral:rRNA from 1 species